UCAUUUCUGAAAUUGGGCCAUUUUUUACACCUAAAUUCGGCCCAAAAGCUUCUCCCCAAGCUGACCCCUUGACCCAAGCCUAAUCCGUGUAAAACCCGGUCGGACCCCACAUCACCAAAACGACGUAGUUGCUCCCCAAAACUAGGUCGUUUCAUUUACCAUUCCCCAUUAAACGACCAAACACACCCCUGUCUUCAUUAAAUCAUUUAGCCCCAUCAAUUUUAGACCUAAUCCCUUCGUCUCUCUCAAAUCACCGCCCACUCCGCCGUAGCUCCGCCGCCCGGAAAUCGCCUCACGGCGGCGGAGCACCUCCAAACGCCUCCAAAUCUUAAUCCUACAUCCUUCGUCAUCUCCUCGUCCUUCUCCCGCAUUGAUUUCUCCAAAAGAUCACCCAAUCCUUCCGAAUUGUAGAUCCAAAAAUAAAAAUCCAAACUUUCCUCUUUUUUCCCAAACUUUUCGGAUUAAACCCUCAAUUCAUAGCAAAACCUGCACGAAUUCCUCAGUUUGUCAACAAAGGAGUUUCGUUUGAAUAUCAAGAAGCCCUAUCUCAUGGAUUUGGUCAGAUUUCGGAAAAUAGCUUUGUAGCCUCUGCCUCGCUUCUUUUUUGGCACACGUUGAGGAUUGCUGCAUGAAUCAUUAGCCAUGAACGAAAGUUCGGCUAAUAUUCGCGUUGCAAUUCUCACCGUUUGGUCAAGAUUUUUGUUCUCCGGAGUUCGAGUUUGAGUCAUCAUUGUUCUCGAAGAUUCUAAGGCUUAAUUGGAUUCAAUUGGAGUUGAAAUGUGUUUGCUACUGCUUACCUGGCUGUAGUUUGCAGAUCUGACCAUAAUUGGCCAUGUCUGUAAACAUGGAGGCCCAAAAAUAGUGUCCAGAAGCAUCCUUGGAGAUUCAAAAGUUAAAUGGCCUCAUAUAGGAUAUGUAUUCACUAGGCUCUAAUUAGGAAUCAUUUAUUUUACUUAAUAGUACAUUGUAAUGCUAUUAUAAUUAUUUUCUUUCACUUGAUGUACAGAUUAUGAGUCCUAUGUAGGACUACUGAUUUGUAUGAAGCAGGAUGUCAUUAUUUACAAUGUGAAUCUCAAUGGGCCAAAUUAAAUUUUAUGUAUCACGUUUGUUUCACAUU